AAAGCAUAGCUCUACAAAGCUUCACAAAGUGAUGGAUUCAAGGACACACAGCAGGUUUCUGAUGGAGGAGAAUGUUACCAUGGUAACCCAGCCCUGCCGUUAUGGGCUUCACUUGAAGUUUCUUCAGGAAGAACCUUGAAAGAGGAUGGAAAAGGAGAGAUUUGCAUCUUUGACAGUGGGGGGAGCAAAGCAGAAGACAGCAAGAACAAGUGGGGAACUGAGAAAAUGAACCAAUUAACAUGUUGGAUAGAGAGGAUGGAGACAGUGAAGAAGCCUGUCAUCUUGUUUAUGGUCUUGCUGGAAAUUUCUCACUGGCAGCUGAAAACAUAGGACAGUCAAAAAUGUCAGGAGGUAUGAUAGCCAUAUACAUAUCACCAAACAAGGCGACAAAGAGCAUAUAUAUUUAUAUAAAAUGCAAAUGCUAAUUUGUAUGAAUAAAUUCAAAUGUGGAAAGAA